UGAUUGCCCAAUGCUUGUCUGAUGGGCUUGAAAGGAGGGGGAGGGAGGCUGAGCCAGUAUCCUCAGAACUGAUGAUUAUCAUCCCAGAACGACCUCAAAGAUGUCAUGAAGGCCUGCUACCCGAGUCAUUCCCUGUUCAGCUCAAUGUAGUCAUACCAUAAACAUCCCAACCAUCAAUGCAGCAACAUCACCCGCCGAAUAUCCCGAUUGGUUGCUCACAUACGCUACUCAAGUAUUACUAGGGAGAAUAUACAUCUUCAUCACAUCAUCAGAGUGGGAUUGUAUUUUUCCAGUCUCUUGUGAGUCAGUGGUGAGCAAGUGGGACGUGUGGCCAGUGUCCGGUGGUGGUGCUCCACGCAUACGCAUGUCUGGGGGAGUAAUCAGCUGCACGGCCACAAUCUAACCUCAGCCUUCCUCUGCGGUCCCACACUCAACCUGGAAGCCAGAGACCCAGGGCAGAGCCCGGCUUCACUGACCCCAGGUGGAGGAGAGCUCUGGUUUGAAGGCAGCGCUGGGGAGAGGGACUCUGAUGCACAACACGUGCCUUAGAGAGAGGGCGAAUGAUGCACUCCGACCUGUACUCCCAAGAAGGAGGCGAUGAUAACAGCAGAGCUGGAUAAUAUCACUGCUCCGAUGCUCAGAAAGCCUUUGAGCUUUGUCUGCUCUCAGGUUUUCACCAUUUGGCACCAAGAUAUUGCAGCACAGCUCCCCAGUAGAUGCAGCCAGAGGGCAUCAGGCACUGUGUGACUGCUUGGAAGAAGAGGAGAUGCUCCUUGCCUGCCCUACCACAGCGCCCACAGCGACUGCAGUUCCCACUGCCCAGUUGUGAGGAGCAGCAUCUGGGAGGUAGCGGGUAAAGACCGGUGGCUGAUACCUUCAGCAUUUCAAUAAGUGUCUUGGCCACAGAGGGUCAGUGGUCCUAGGGGUGGCCCCAGCUCCCACAUGGAGCUCUGCUUGAAAAAGAAAAAAAUUAAAAUUAAAAAACAGGAGAGAGU